UGCGUAGGGUGCGAGCGUUGUCCGGAAUUAUUGGGCGUAAAGGGCUCGUAGGCGGUCUGUCACGUCGGGAGUGAAAACUCAGGGCUUAACCCUGAGCCUGCUUCCGAUACGGGCAGACUAGAGGUAUGCAGGGGAGAACGGAAUUCCUGGUGUAGCGGUGAAAUGCGCAGAUAUCAGGAGGAACACCGGUGGCGAAGGCGGUUCUCUGGGCAUUACCUGACGCUGAGGAGCGAAAGUGUGGGGAGCGAACAGG
rnacentral:rRNA from 1 species